UAGUGUUCAGGGCCCGGGGUUGUGUGCAGAACCAGGGUUCCAUGAUUUGCCUGUCUCUGCUGUGCGGGGCCGUGUCUCUCUGCGUUCUCCAUCCUCCUCAUUGCGGCCUUCUCUCUGCCCUCUUCCUCUCGUCUGCCUGCUUCCACCCCUCUUCCUGCCCUCCUUUCGGUGCCACAUCCUUUUUCUCAUUUCUCCGUUUCGGUUGCUUCCCUCUCCCUUCCCCUCCCCAGGGGGUUGCGCUCCCUCCGUUCUUUUCCGGCAUUUUUUUUGCAGGAGUUAGCACGCCCUCAGCGAUUUCAAGUUAUGGAGGCGAUGGCUCCUGAUGAGACGGACCAAGGUCAUCGGCGAAGGAGUGAGGGGGAGGAUCUAGAAGAUGCGGUGCAAGACCAGAUUCGAGCGACGGAACAGGAGAUAAGAGCGAAGGAAGAGAAGUUCAGAGCAAAGGAAGAGGAGAUAAGAGAGCUCAGAGCGGAGAUAAGAGAGCUCAAAGCGGAGAUAAGUAAGCUCAGAGCGGAGAUCAGAGCGGUGGAAUCGGAGAUUGCUACUGCUUCGGGAGAUCAAGCGACAAAGCCUCUUGAAGCGAAGCUGCAAUUCCAACGCCAACAGAUAGUCAGCCUAAAGUCACAGGUUAGCCGCCUGGGGCAACAGAUUAGCAGCCGCGAUCAACAGAUAGUCAAUCUAGGGCAACAGAUUAGCAGCCGCGAUCAACAGAUAGUCAAUCUAGGGCAACAGAUUAGCAGCCUUCAGUCUGUGCAAGCAGCGGCGGCAUCGUCAGAUAAAUGCACAGAGUUUGAUUGGCUACGUCAGGACUUGCCGUCGUGGGUCUCAGGGAACUCCAAGCCUCCAAGCGCCACGCAGAAGGAGCGGAUGUACACGCCUGUGAGAGUGGAGUAUUGGGAUGUGGUGAAAGACAUCGAAGACUAUCUGAACAAGGUGGAUAAGUUGAAGCGUAUAUAUCGGAAAGUGGAUGACUCUGUAUUCACUGCAGGAAAGAAAAGUGUGGUAGCCAUCGCUUAUUUUGUCGUGAACAGCACCUGCGAAUUCGUUAGUAAGAAGCGACCAGAUUCCUCGGUAACAUACGACGGGGAAGUGAACCUUGAAGUGCCACCAGAACCCUCAGCAGAGGGAGGAGAGUCGACGAACACAGACGGAUCAAAGGCCGCGGGCAGAGACGUUCAAAAGAGUUUCUUUUAUGCCAGACCUCCUCGUGUGGAUGUGUUAAUUCAAUCCAACGAUGAGGCCGUUGCUGUUCUUGAGCUUAAGAAAGGAGGUCUGGGAUGUCCCGUGCCGAUCCACAAACUGUGGACAAGAUGCUCAUGUCAGACAGGAGUAUUCUCAACUGCAGUCUCCAGGUUUACGAAUACCUGGUUUUGUAAGCAGUUCAUUAACCUACCUCGGGAUGAAUCGGGUGGGGCUAGCUCAGCUCAGGGCUCAGUGUCGCGAGGUCUGCUUCUGCCUUUUGUCAAAAUAUUCCAGCAAAAGGGCAGUCCUGUUGAGCAAUACUUCGUUUUUCCUGGGCAGCUAUUUGGUGCUCUAACCUGGUUUUAUUCUUCAGGGCGAAGGUUGGGUAUGGCGUUCUCACCGAUAUCCAGAACUGGUAUCUCUGCAAAAGGGAUCAUGGUGGCUGCCUCUAUAUUUCAACAGGUUUCAAGUUGGAUGGCCGGAAACCGCCUGUACCUGCUGCAAUUGCUUAUUUGGUCAAUUCUGCUGUUGAAGCCCACGGUGAGUUUGAUGUUUUACCCAGGAAGGGUGAGCGUCCCUGGAGCUGGGAGGUUUCCCCUUGUGCCAAUCCCAGUAGCGGCUCUAAAGAUGAUGAAGACGAGGGUAGGACCUACAAACCAAACGAGCGCGAAAUUGGUGGUUACAGAACGUCUCCAGCUAGGACUCGAAGGGGAUCCUCAAACGCGACACAGAACCAAUUGCAGGAGAUUCCUGCGCCGGACCUGCAUCUGGACGACCGCCCCAUCAGCAGCGGGGGAUGGAGCGGCUCCGUGGUUGGCGGCACUUUGAAUGGUCGUCGUGUUGCAGUGAAGUUGGCUCCCCGCAAUUCGGAACGUGCGGAGGCUCUGCUGAACGAGGUGGACGCCUACCUAAAGCUGCAGAAGUAUUGGGGGGAAUUCGUGCCCCCAUUAGUAGGAUUUGGAACCACAGCCAAUGGCCAAAUUGUUUUCAUAGCGACAGAGUUGAUCGAUGGCAGUCCACUCGGACCUGGAACAGUGACCGAGGAGGUGGCCAAUGCGGCACGUAAGGGGCUUGAUGCUGUCCACAAGUGUAAGUUACUUCAUGGGGAUGUUGAGGCGCGGAACAUUAUGGUUGUGCGGGGUACACAGCCUUCUGUCCGCCUUGUUGAUUUCGGCUUUGCGAAGCGCAGCAACAAUAAGGAGUCGCAGAGGGAAGAGCGCGGGAGAUUGGAGGACCUUUUGCAAGAUAUGAUGAGAGUUCGGGUGGGGAAAGCGUUUGAUGACGUAAGAUAUCCUCGUACGCAGCUUUGUUCAGUAUAGUGUAACCACCUUUUCAAGCGACUCUGACGAGGGAGACUUAUCGUUGCCUGCCCUCCAAAAACUUUCGCUCCCCUCGCUCCCUCCCUCUCAGUUUUUCAACUGCUCCCAGGGCCGCCUCUCCUUGUCUUCUUUGUGUCCGCUUCUCCUCUCUCCAAGCUGUCAAAUUGGCUGCCGCCUUAAUGGCGGCCGCCAAAUUUCACAAGAUUCCUUUACGGAAACCUUUCAAAACAUUUUAAAUCGGAACUUAAAAGUUCAAUUACACCUUUAUUA